UACGUAGGGCGCAAGCGUUGUCCGGAAUUAUUGGGCGUAAAGAGCUCGUAGGCGGUCUGUCACGUCGGCUGUGAAAUCCCGAGGCUCAACCUCGGGUCUGCAGUCGAUACGGGCAAACUAGAGUAUUGCAGGGGAGACUGGAAUUCCUGGUGUAGCGGUGAAAUGCGCAGAUAUCAGGAGGAACACCGGUGGCGAAGGCGGGUCUCUGGGGCCUUACCUGACACUGAGGAGCGAAAGCGUGGGGAGCGAACAGG
rnacentral:rRNA from 1 species